CAGGCAGGUCCCUGCAGGGCUCACAAGCCAGGCCCUGCCCAAGAUGGGGGCAUCCCAUGGCAGAGUCCAGGGCUCAGGCCCAGCCUCGUGGGCAGAUUGGGGCAGGACUUGGGAGGGCCCAGGGAAGCCCGAAGUCCUCAGGAAGCCCCUCUUUCCAGAAGCCACAGCGCUGCUGAGAUGAACACGCCAUAAGGAGCUACAAGACCUUGUCUGACUCAGUGUUAUGGGGGGGUCUCAUCCCAUGGAGAGGGGGUCCCCAGCACUCCAGGGGACUGAAACCCCAGUGGGCCCUGCUCAGGCCACCGGCCCCAACUUGGAAAAGCCAGAGCGCCUCAUGAAGCUUUCCUGGAGCACCGUCUGGGAGUUUCAGGAGCGACUCUCUCAGAGCUGGGCCCUGGAGGACAACGCGGUCCUCAGGAACCUUCAAACCUCCAUGAAGGAACUCACAAGGAAACACUGGGACCUGCCACCCUCAGCCGAGCAGGUGUCCUCGAGGGUGUUCCCUGGCAUUGAGACCCUCUGUGAAGGAGACAGACUGGCCGUCCCCACUCCACCAGCUCAGCUCCCGGAGCUCAUGCCAUCAGUCCCCCUGGGACAAAAGCCUUGUCCUCUCCCAGCCUGGCCCGAUGGGGCUGUCCCCAAGGCCCAGGCCCAGGCCCAUCAGCACGAAGGGGCUUCCCCAGAGCCCAGAACAGAAGACUGCUCUCUGGGAGGCCAGAGGCUCGAGAUGAGGGCAGCCUGUCCCCUGGUGAGGUCAGGCUUUCUAUUACAUGGAAACACUUGUCCAGGAACACUAGGCCACAGCUCCACACAGACCCGCAUGUCGGGGGUCCAUGUUUCCUGCGCUGCCAUUUUGAACACGGCUCCUGGGACUCUGUCACUUCUCCAUCUUCUGUGGACAGCAGCCCUGGAACAAAAAGACGCACCCCGCCCAGCGAGCCCACUGGGACCCCAACACCAGGCCCUGCUGGGGUUUAUGACAGAGAGGAGGCACUUUGAAAGACACCAAGCAACAAGGUGUCCCCUGUCUGCAACUCCCCUCAGUAGAAGAACAACAUGGCAUGGAAGGAGCCCAGGUGGCACCCGCCUAGCUGCCUUGCAGCCCCAGAUGGCUGCUGGCUGUUUUUUACUGAUGUUUUAUUUUUAUUUUAUAUUUUUGGCUUCUGGGCCUUGGGAAAUACUCAAUGGUGAACUUGGUCCCAUCAAGGCCUCUGGAGGGAGCUGAGCAUGGGGUUCCUGCAGCCCCAGCCAGCCAGCAGCGUGCGCUGGGGCUCCUGACCCCAUCUGUGGGUCACAGCCCCUCCUCCAGGGCCCAAGUCCCCGGCCCAGAGGGACCUGGCUUCAUCCUGAGUACUAGGAGGAGAGGGGCACCAUAGGCCCCCAGGUGACCACACAGGGGACCAGGGCACAGCGAGCGUUGGGUGCUGCGAGAAUUCACAUCAGACAACCUGGACAAGCAGGGCCAGAGAUGCUGAGCCCGUACAGUGAUGAUAUGGGCGGCUGGCACAAGGGGUUAACAGCUGUGAACACUGACGCCUCUUCCCAACUCCAUCACUGCACUGCAGGCAGUCUGCACCCCAAAGCCUGGCCCAACAACGCCCCAACAUGCCACCUGGAGGCUUUGAGGCCCUGCCUACCACACCACCCUCCUCCUGGAAGCCUCGUCCUGCAGCCUAGCCGCUGCUGCAGCCAUAGCAGCUAUCACUGCCAAGCACCUUCCAGACGGGCUUCCCAGAAGGCGGAGGAGCCUCAGCAGCUCAGACUGUGAAGGUGGUUUCAUCCACAUUUCCAUUGUUCCACCAAAGAGAAUCCCUGCAGAGGAUGCUCUUGAUAAAAGGUGGGCAAAAUGGCACACCAGGUAGAUGCAGUCAGCUUCUUUUCUGGCCACCACAUUAGGCUGGGGACAAAGUGACCAUCAGACAGGCGUGGGACACAAGAGGCUCAGCAUGCUGCAUGUGCCCUGACCAAGGCUGACCAGGCCGACACCACUGCCGAGCAUCCCAUCUGCUGAUGAGAGACUUGGUGUCAAUCCCUGGGCUGACCCUGUUUCCCAGGAGGACCGGUUGACCACCUGUGGGCGCACUGCCCACACUGUGGAGGGAGCUGAGAUUGGCCUUCACUGCAGGGAGCCCCUACCUGGAUAUAGACUUGCUCAUCCUUCCUGUCACCAUCAUGGCAGCCCACAUGGCAUUGCUUUUGACCAGGUCAUUUCAUUCACAGCGAGGGACAUGCAGCAGUGGCCCCUGACCAGGGAACUAACUGUUCUCACUACGUCAGCCACCACCUGGAAGCAACUGGGUUUGGCUUAGGAUCACUUAGUUGCGAUCGUAACUGGAGUUGCUGAAGUGAUAGUUUGUUUUACAAAAUAAAUGUUAUGCUUUCUACUGGAAACCAGUGUACAGUGCUGACUCCCUGACAGCCAGAAGGUGUAGUUCUGAAAGUGAAAGUGUGAAAGUGGACGAUGUUCAGUAUUGCACCAAAUGUCUUAGUCACAGUUUUCCUAUGCCUGUCCUGGAGAAAUGGAGCUUUGCUGGUUGGAAGGUCUGAGGACCCAGGCAGAGUGAAGCUUCCCCCAGGGGAAGACAACAUUGGUUCUAUUUAAUAUGAAGAGACAGAACUAAGUCUGAAACCCUGGAGCACUCUCUGGUGUUCUUGGUGUUUCCGUGUAAAGAAAGUCAAAUAGGCUGGGCUUGGUAGCUCAUGCCUGUAAUCUCAGCACUUUGGGAGGCUGAGGCAGGAGGAUCAAGGAUCUGGUCAGGAGAUCCAGACAAUCCUGGCUAACACAGUGAAAUCCCGUCUUAACUAAAAAUACAAAAAACUGGCCAGGCGUGGUGGCAGGCACCUGUAGUCCCAGUUACUCGGGAGGCUGAGGCAGGAGAAUGGUGUGAACCCAGGAGGCGGGGCUUGCAGUGAGCCGAGAUCACACCACUGCACUCCAGCCUGGGUGUCAGAGGGAGCUCUGUCAAAUAAAAGUAAAGUCAAAUAACAAAGGUUUGCCACAGAGGCAUCUGAAAAAGGAGGGGGCAGAACUUCAGAACUUAGAGGCUUCAAAAUCAAAGAUGAAGCCAAGCAGGAGACUCCUGGCCCACUGAGGGCAGGGGAAGUAUGUGGGGGCUGCUAGGAGAAGACGUCAUAGAGGUCCACCCCCACCUUGUGGUAUGUCACAGAACCAUGCACUUGAAUAACUGUGCACAUCUUCUCUCCACUGAUUAUAGUAUUUCUUUCCAUUUGUGAUUCUCCAAUCACGCAGGGAGCUUGCUACAAAAUGCACAUUGCUAUACUACAGCCUGGGGCUUGCAAUCCAAGGCUGGCAAGGAUUCCUGCACAUCAAGGGCCC
rnacentral:lncRNA from 10 species